rnacentral:rRNA from 1 species
CAGCCGCCGCGGUAAUACCGGCGGCCCGAGUGGCGGUCACUAUUAUUGGGCUUAAAGCGUCCGUAGCCGGGUUGGGAAGUCCUCCGGGAAAUCUGGCCGCUUAACGGUCAGAAUGCCGGAGGAUACUCCCAGCCUAGGGAGCGGGAGAGGCCGAGGGUAUUCCCGGGGUAGGGGUGAAAUCCUAUAAUCCCGGGAGGACCACCUGUGGCGAAGGCGCUCGGCUGGAACGCGUCCGACGGGGAGGGACGAAGGCCAGGGGAGCAAACCGGAUUAGAUACCCGGGUAGUCCUGGCUGUAAACGAUGCGGACUUUGUGUCGGACAAGCUAUGAGCUUGUCCGGUGCCGGAGGGAAACCGUUAAGUCCGCCGCCUGGGGAGUACGGCCGCAAGGCUGAAACUUAAAGGAAUUGGCGGG